AAAAAAAAAGGUGUAUUUGAACACAUGAAUAGUAGUGUUGGUUCUUGUUAUGUUCAAAAAAUGAACUUUUUAGUCCCUUGUGUUGAAGAAAAUCCUUGGAGAUUACAUCAAAUGGAAAAUAAGUUUAAGGAUGAAGAAGAGGGAUUAGUAGAUUUAAUUGGGAUUAAGGAUACUAAUCAUAAUAUUAAUGGUGGUACAAAGUUAUGUGCUAGAGGUCAUUGGAGACCUCAUGAAGAUGCAAAGCUUAAAGAACUUGUUGGUCAAUAUGGUCCACAAAAUUGGAAUCUCAUUGCUGAAAAACUUGAAGGAAGAUCAGGAAAAAGUUGUAGAUUGAGAUGGUUUAAUCAACUAGAUCCAAGAAUCAACAGAAAAGCAUUCUCAGAAGAAGAAGAGGAAAGAUUAUUAUCAGCACACAAAAUGUAUGGCAACAAAUGGUCAAUGAUUGCAAGGCUAUUCCCAGGGAGGACAGAUAAUGCAGUGAAGAAUCAUUGGCAU
rnacentral:misc_RNA from 1 species